rnacentral:rRNA from 1 species
GACGAGGGAUCCUAGCGUUGUUCGGAAUCAUUGGGCGUAAAGCGGGUGUAGGCGGACUUAUAAGUCAGGUGUGAAAUCCCAGGGCUCAACCCUGGAAGUGCACUUGAUACUGUAAGUCUUGAGUGUGGUAGAGGCUAUUAGAAUUCCUGGUGUAGUGGUGAAAUACGUAGAUAUCAGGAGGAAUACCGGAGGCGAAGGCGGAUAGCUGGGCCAACACUGACGCUGAGACCCGAAGGCGUGGGGAUCAAACAGG